GAUGAACGCUAGCAGGGGGCCUAACACAUGCAAGUCGAAUGGGUUUAGACCCAUGGCAAACGGGUGCGUAACACGUGCUUUACCUACCUCGGAGUGGGGGAUACCAUCGGAAACGGUGCUAAUCCCCCAUACGUCCUACGGGAGAAAGAUUUAUCGCUCUGAGAGGGAGGCGCGGCCUAUUAGUUAGUUGGUGAGGUAAAGGCUCACCAAGACGAUGAUGGGUAGCUGGUCUGAGAGGAUGAUCAGCCACAAUGGAACUGAGACACGGUCCAUACCCCUACGGGGGGCAGCAGUGGGGAAUCUUGCGCAAUGGACGAAAGUCUGACGCAGCCACCCUGCGUGGAGGAUGAAGCAUUAAGGUGUGUAAACUCCUUUUCUGGAGGAAGACGACUGACGGUACUCCAGGAAUAAGCGACGGCUAACUACG
rnacentral:rRNA from 1 species